rnacentral:lncRNA from 1 species
ACAUAAUCAAAAAAUAACCUCCUUGGGAAAUUUUCAAUUAGCUACGAAGUAUUCCCCUGGUAAGCAGACUAGGAUAUAUUGGUGAUCUCUUGCUUUAAGGCAGAUUUGCAAAUAAUUACACACUAUUUGCCACCCCACACAUAACUCUGUCUGUUGUCCUUUCUCUCACUGGGAGGACUAAAGAAGUAAACUCACAAUUGGUAUUCCUCAUGUUUCUCCAGGACACACAUCUGAUUUCUCUGGGCAGUUGUCUUAGCAGCAAGAUACCUCUUAGGCAAGGCAUGAUGGGUUUCCAGAAUUUGAACCCGAACUGCACCUGUACCUUCUGUUCACUGAAGUGAUAAGCAUAAAUAUUUAAGCAAGAGGCUAGAACCCUGGUCUAAGUCCUAGAAAUUCAAUGUAGGCCUGAAGAAGGACAAAAGAAAUCUGAGGUUCUAUAUGGAAAUUUACAAGGGGGACCCAGAAAUAGAAAGAUUUAGAAGUUACAUUAAAAACUUUGGCGAAUUCUAAAAGUUGUAGCCAUGUUCAAGUGCACUGAAAGAAGAACCUGAAGGGAAUUGAACCUCCUUCACAAUCUUGCAGGCAGUCUUUUCUGAAAGCUGUAGUCCAGUGACCCUUUGAAGUGGCAAGGCACAUUCAGGAUCUCAUCAUCCUAUAAUGCUAAUGGGUAAAAAGUGAUACCUUUCAUCUUUAAAGCUUUCAGACAAACUUACAUCAUUCAAAUUCUUCAAGCAGUUCCCCUUUCCUGCAGAAAAAAAUGGCAAUUUCUUCUUUCUAAAAAUCUUUUUUUAAUUUUUAAGUUUUUUUGUGUGAUUGAGAUGGAAUAUCAUGGAGUCAUUAUGUCUUUUGUUUCCAGACAUGAUGUCAGAAAUGUCAUCCCGAAGAAAGACAACUCUGUGCAUCAAAGUUGUCUUGUCUCACUGUGCAUUCAAGGGAGACUUAAACGGAGUUGCAAAUAUUUUGAUUAAGCUAACCAAGGGUCACAUGUAAUUUCUGAAAACACAGAUAUCAAAUACUUGAUGGAUUUAGAGAACGUGUGUACAUAGAGCAAAGAGGAGAGUUGAAACUAUGAACAGUAAAUUAUUGAUUCUCUAAUAUGAUGAAGGAUAUGGGUAGUGGAGAAUGCAUUUUAACAAACAGGAAGGCUAUGAUUGAAUCUUACUUUGUCUAACAAUUUGAUGAAAAUCUCUGGGUCUCAGUUAUAUUGUCCACAAAAUUUGGGAAGCACCAUGGCCAGGAUUGCUAUAAUGUUAAAACAGAAAACAAAUGUGAAUAUAUUUUGAAUAUUUUAAAACACUCUGCAUAUAUUUUAAAACAUUCAAAUACAAUCAAUUAAUGUGAUUAUGAACAUUUAUUGUAUUCAAUUGUAUCUUUAUAUUGGAUGAUAUGGAAUAUAUGUAAACUUCACUGUUUUUUAAAAGAUCUCAAACUGGAAUGUAAAAGGGCAACUUUUUUUCACAAUUUUAUACUAUGUGUCAGACUUCCUUUGUUCUUUCUAGGUUCCUCUCUACCAAAAGCAAAUGGAAGUUCUCCAGGGUACACAUUCCCAGGGGCACAGGCUAGGCCAUUCCUUGAAAGCUACUGCUUUGGCAAGCUUGUAACCAAUAGGAAUAUAUGCUGUCUAAGCUGUCAUUCUUUGCCCUUUGGGGUUAGGGUGGAGGUGAGAGGACUAAUUUGGAGCCACCUCUUCUCUCCAGCUGGCCCAAACACUUUCCUUUUGGAUCUUUAUGUCAUAAUUUCCACUUCCCUCAGUUCUCUUGGAGUCAGACAUCUUAUGAUUACAUGUUUUGUAGCAAUGUUUUUAGUUCUUCCUAUUAUUGCUGGUGGCCUGAUUAAGUGGGUUGAAAUAAUAAAAUCCAAAGAAAUAAAUGG